rnacentral:rRNA from 1 species
UACGUAGGUGGCAAGCGUUGUCCGGAUUUAUUGGGUUUAAAGGGUUGCGUAGGCGGUUCCAUAAGUCAGUGGUGAAAUACGGCAGCUCAACUGUCGAGGUGCCAUUGAUACUGCGGAACUGAGUGUUGAUGAGGCAGGCGGAAUUGACGGUGUAGCGGUGAAAUGCUUAGAUAUCGUCAAGAACACCGAUAGCGAAGGCAGCUUGCCAAGCAACAACUGACGCUCAGGCACGAAAAGUGCGGGGAUCAAACAGG